rnacentral:miRNA from 1 species
AUGUGUGUAUAAUCAUGGAUGCAUGUGUGUAUACAUAGCCAAAUAUAUGUAGUUACAUGCACACCCACAUACACACACACUCAAUCUCUAAACACA